AGGUUGGUUUAGUUAAGUCAGAUGUAGAAACGGCCCGGGGCUACAACCGUACGGUAAUUGCUAUUUAGAAACGUGGACAAACUAGAGUACUGUAGAGGGGGUAGAAUUUCAGGUGUAGCGGUGAAAUGCGUAGAGAUCUGAAGGAAUACCGGUGGCGAAGGCGGCCCCCUGGACAGAUACUGACACUCAGAUGCGAAAGCGUGGGGAGCAAACAGGAUUAGAUACCCUGGUAG
rnacentral:rRNA from 1 species